rnacentral:rRNA from 1 species
GACGAACGCUGGCGGCGUGCUUAACACAUGCAAGUCGAACGGAAAGGCCCUGCUUUUGUGGGGUGCUCGAGUGGCGAACGGGUGAGUAACACGUGAGUAACCUGCCCUUGACUUUGGGAUAACUUCAGGAAACUGGGGCUAAUACCGGAUAGGAGCUCCUGCUGCAUGGUGGGGGUUGGAAAGUUUCGGCGGUUGGGGAUGGACUCGCGGCUUAUCAGCUUGUUGGUGGGGUAGUGGCUUACCAAGGCUUUGACGGGUAGCCGGCCUGAGAGGGUGACCGGCCACAUGGGGAAGGAGAUACGGCCCAGACUCAUAAGUGAGGAAGCAGUGGGGAUGAUUGCACAAGGGGCGGAGGCCUGAUGCAGCAACGCCGCGUGCGGGAGGAAGGCCUGCGGGUUGAAAACCGCGUACGCCGGUGACGAAGAGUGAGUGACGGUAAUGGGUAAAGAAGCAACGGCUAACUACGUG